GCCAGACGAUCGCAGGCGGCAACGCCUGAGGAAAGUCCGAGCACCACAGGGCAGGGUGCCGGUUAACUGCCGGUGGAGGCGACUUUAAGGAAAGUGCAACAGAGAUAUACCGCGGCUCUCUCUGAGAGGCGUAAGGGUGGAAAGGCGAGGUAAGAGCUCACCCGCGGCCUGGCGACUGGCCCGCGCUGUAAACCCCACCUGGUGCAAGAUUGAUAGGGAGGCAAGGGCGAAGCCCCUCGGGGCUCUGUCCGGCGGCGGCCCGUCGCGCCUCCGGGUAAUCGCUUGAGCCUGCUGGCAACUGCAGGCCCAGACAGAUGAUCGUCCAAUACAGAACUCGGCUUACAGACG
rnacentral:RNase_P_RNA from 1 species